rfam:Oryza barthii chromosome 2, whole genome shotgun sequence.
AAAAAGAUAAACCUUGAGUUUCCGUGUCUAGUUUUAACUGUCCGUCUUAUAUAAUUUUAUUUUAUAAUUCGUAUUUUUAUUAUUGUUAGAUGAUAAAACAUGAUUAAUAUUUUAUGCGUGACUUGUCUUUUUAAUUUUUUUAUAAUUUUUUUAAAUAAGACGGAUGGUUAAAUGUUAGACAUGUAAAUCAGGGUUUGUAGAGACG